rnacentral:misc_RNA from 1 species
GAUGAAGAACGUAGCGAAAUGCGAUACUUGGUGUGAAUUGCAGAAUCCCGUGAACCAUCGAGUCUUUGAACGCAAGUUGCGCCCGAAGCCACUAGGCCGAGGGCACGCCUGGCUGGGCGUCACACGCCGUUGCCCCCCCAUCUACUCCUUCGGGAUUGCGGGGGGGCGGAUGAUGGCCUCCCGUGCGCCUAGCCGCGCGGUUGGCAUAAAUACCAAGUCCUCGGCGACGCACGCCACGACAAUCGGUGGUUGCGAAACCUCGGUUGCCCGUCGUGUGCGUUCGUCGCGCAUCGAGGGCUCGAAAAAAUGCUCGGCUCCGGCUGGGCUUUCAACGCGACCCCAGGUCAGGCGGGGUUACCCGCUGAAUUUAAGCAUAUCAAUAAGCGGAGGA